CCUACGGGAGGCAGCAGUGGGGAAUAUUGCACAAUGGGGGAAACCCUGAUGCAGCGACGCCGCGUGAGUGAGGAAGUAUUUCGGUAUGUAAAGCUCUAUCAGCAGGGAAGAAAAUUACGGUACCUGACUAAUAAGCCACGGCUAACUACGUGACAGCAGCCGCGGUACUACGUAGGGGGCAAGCGUUAUCCGGAUUUACUGGGUGGAAAGGGAGCGUAGACGGCUAAUUAAGUCAGAAGUGAAAACGCAGGGCUCAACGUUGGGACUGCUUUUGAAACUGAGUGGCUAGAGUGCAGUAGAGGUAAGCGGAAUUCGUGGUGUAGCGGUGAAAUGCGUAGAUAUCAGGAGGAACACCAGUGGCGAAGGCGGCUUACUGGACUGUAACUGACGUUGAGGCUCGAAAGCGUGGGGAGCAAACAGGAUUAGAUACCCCAGUAGUC
rnacentral:rRNA from 1 species